AUUGAACGCUGGCGGCAGGCCUAACACAUGCGAGUCGAGCGGAUGAAGGGAGCUUGCUCCUGGAUUCAGCGGCGGACGGGUGAGUAAUGCCUAGGAAUCUGCCUGGUAGUGGGGGAUAACGUCCGGAAACGGGCGCUAAUACCGCAUACGUCCUGAGGGAGAAAGUGGGGGAUCUUCGGACCUCACGCUAUCAGAUGAGCCUAGGUCGGAUUAGCUAGUUGGUGGGGUAAAGGCCUACCAAGGCGACGAUCCGUAACUGGUCUGAGAGGAUGAUCAGUCACACUGGAACUGAGACACGGUCCAGACUCCUACGGGAGGCAGCAGUGGGGAAUAUUGGACAAUGGGCGAAAGCCUGAUCCAGCCAUGUCGCGUGUGUGAAGAAGGUCUUCGGAUUGUAAAGCACUUUAAGUUGGGAGGAAGGGCAGUAAGUUAAUACCUUGCUGUUUUGACGUUACCAACAGAAUAAGCACCGGCUAACUUCGUG
rnacentral:rRNA from 1 species